rnacentral:rRNA from 1 species
GACGAACGCUGGCGGCGUGCUUAACACAUGCAAGUCGAACGGUAAGGCCCUUCGGGGUACACGAGUGGCGAACGGGUGAGUAACACGUGGGUGAUCUGCCCUGCACUUCGGGAUAAGCCUGGGAAACUGGGUCUAAUACCGGAUAGGACCACUGCCUGCAUGGGUGGUGGUGGAAAGCUUUUGCGGUGUGGGAUGGGCCCGCGGCCUAUCAGCUUGUUGGUGGGGUGAUGGACUACCAAGGCGACGACGGGUAGCCGGCCUGAGAGGGUGACCGGCCACACCGGGACUGAGAUACGGCCCAGACUCCUACGGGAGGCAGCAGUGGGGAAUAUUGCACAAUGGGCGCAAGCCUGAUGCAGCGACGCCGCGUGAGGGAUGACGGCCUUCGGGUUGUAAACCUCUUUCAGCACCGACGAAGCGCAAGUGACGGUAGGUGCAGAAGAAGGACCGGCCAACUACGUGCCAGCAGCCGCAGUAA